AAAAAGCAGAAAAAAUUAUCCCUGAACUGAUCUAAAACACACUGCCAAGCCAUUGAUUCAGUCUCCCUAAAUUUUAAUUGUUAAUAUAACCUACCAAAAUGUAGCAUGCCAUCCAAAAGUGCACCUAAUUUUACUGAGGCUGGAAACAGUGGAUUUAGAAGAUGGUGGAAAAGUCCAGGGAUUUCACAGGAGAGAGAAAGAAGCAUCAGUUAGUGCUGUGACUUCAGGGUCUAUUCUAGAGGAGAGGUUAGGGACUCACGUUGUUCCAUGCCUGAUUAUGUGAAAAAUAAACUUAGUAAUAGACACAUAACUAGCCUGUCAUAAGUGUUUUCCAUAUCCUCAUGCUCAAGCAUCAUUUGAGAACCUCAUCAUCUUCUAUAUAUUUAGUAUUUCAAUGAAGUGGGAAAGCAUUGCUAUCUCCAAAUGAGGACGAGGGGGAAAAAGGUUCUCAGAUGAUGAAUUUACAGAUUGGGAAGGAGAGGUACAGGGAGACUAAGUUAUUUACUGGAAUUUGGAACGGAGGAAAGAAGUGAAUCCAGGUGUUGCUGCUCUCUCCCUCUUCCCUUCCCUUGCAACUGUCACUCAGCUGGGAGGUGAAUUUAGAUCAAAUUCACCUUCUGCAAAAAUGUGACUUUUGGCCAGGCCAAGAGAAUAUCUUUGUGGUUCCCUCCUCAGAUGAAGUCUCUCAUUUAUAAAAGGAUGAGACCCUGCUCCCGGAGUCAAUUAGUUAAAGCAUCGCAGCUGGAUCUAGAUGGGUCUGCUGGUCUCUCAGACUCCUCAUUUGGUUGUGAAGACUGGAUGGUUACACCAUGUGCACCUCUUAUCUCUUGACACUGAAGACAAGUGAUUUUAACCACAGCACAUUUGGAUUUGUCUGCUUGUGUACAAGGAGAAGCUGUGAGUUUGGACUGAUGUGAAUUUCCAACUGGUAGGUCUAUGCACCCCCACAGAUAAACCUGUGCUCCUUUCCUGCAGGAAGGAAAAAAGCAGAAACCAGCAAUGAGAUUCUUGUUCUUUAUUGUUUAAGA
rnacentral:lncRNA from 1 species